UACGUAGGGGGCAAGCGUUGUCCGGAAUCAUUGGGCGUAAAGAGCGUGUAGGCGGCUCGGUAAGUCCGCUCUGAAAGCCCGGGGCUCAACCCCGGGAGGCGGGCGGAUACUGUCGAGCUAGAGUCCGGAAGAGGCGAGUGGAAUUCCUGGUGUAGCGGUGAAAUGCGCAGAUAUCAGGAGGAACACCAAUGGCGAAGGCGAGUCCCUGGACAACUCCUGACACUGAGGCACGAAAGCUAGGGGAGCAAACAGG
rnacentral:rRNA from 1 species